UACGGGGGGGGCAAGCGUUGUUCGGAAUUACUGGGCGUAAAGGGCGAGUAGGUGGCCAUCUAAGUCAGACGUGAAAUCCCUCGGCUUAACCGGGGAACUGCGUCUGAUACUGGAUGGCUUGAGUUUGGGAGAGGGAUGCGGAAUUCCAGGUGUAGCGGUGAAAUGCGUAGAUAUCUGGAGGAACACCGGUGGCGAAGGCGGCAUCCUGGACUGGUCCUGACACUCAGGAGCGAAAGCGUGGGGAGCGAUCCGG
rnacentral:rRNA from 1 species